rnacentral:rRNA from 1 species
UGGGUAACCUGCCUCAAAGAGGGGAAUAGCCUCCCGAAAGGGAGAUUAAUACCGCAUAAUAUGUUUUAGUCGCAUGACUUAAACAUCAAAGGAUUUUCUUUUAGAAAUUCCACUUUGAGAUGGACCCGCGGCGCAUUAGCUAGUUGGUGAGGUAACGGCUCACCAAGGCAACGAUGCGUAGCCGACCUGAGAGGGUGAUCGGCCACAUUGGAACUGAGACACGGUCCGGACUCCUACGGGAGCAG